CAAAGCACUUUGAAGAGAGAGUUAAAGAGGACGUGAAACCGAUGAGGUGGAAACGGACAGAGCUGGCGUAUCUGGCCUGUAUUCAGCCACGGGCCCGCCGGUGUCAGGGAUGCCGCUCUCCAGAUUGGGACGGUGGCCUGUCUGCUGGUGGGUUUGUGGUGCAUUUGCAGGUGGAGUGCGCCGAGGCGCUCGGGCACAGCGGCAUGAGCCCAGUUUUGAGGCCAGCCUCGCAAGAGGUCUGGUACCCGGACUGGGGGAGUGUUGUUUGGCCUGGGUGUACAAGUGGGGCAAUGGAAUCGGGCCCGGGUGGGUGCCGAGCUGGCAGUCGGCGUCGGUCGCAUGCGACACGUGCCAGCGGUCAGUUCGGUCCUGCUCGAGCUCACAUCUGCCCGUCCUCGGUGUAAAAGCCGGUCAUCUGUCCGACCCGUCUUGAAACACGGACCAAGGAGUUUAGCGUGUGCGCGAGUCAUUGGGCGUUAAAAACCCAAAGGCGCAAUGAAAGUGAAGGUCUCCCUUGCGGAGCUGAUGUGUGAUCCUGGUGCACUGCGGUGCCCGGGCGCAACAUAGUCCCGUCCCGACCGCAUGCGGUGGGGCGGAGACAGAGCGUACGCGCUGAGACCCGAAAGAUGGUGAACUAUUCCUGAGCAGGAUGAAGCCAGUGGAAACUCUGGUGGAAGUCCGAAGCGAUUCUGACGUGCAAAUCGAUCGUCUGACUUGGGUAUA
rnacentral:rRNA from 1 species